rnacentral:misc_RNA from 1 species
AACUACAUCGUCGCCUUCAGCCACUACGCCGCCGCCGAUCGCCACCGCGCCUACCUCGAAUCCGCACUCCGCCCAGGAGGCUGGCGGUGGAUCCCGCGGCAGAACCCGGCGGCGCAGUUCCCCACCGAUUUCGGGCUCGUCGCGAUCGAUGAUUCCGCGGUGGUUGACGAGAUUCGGAAACUGGGGUCGGUCAAGUACGUGAGCUUGGACAUGAGCUACAAGAGGGGUUUGAUGGCAAAGAAGGAUCAGAGACGCAACGACAAGAAGGUUGGUGCGUUUGAGGAUGGGAAGAAGAAGCGCCCCGGGAAGAUCUUCACUGCGAUGUCAUUUUGUGAGGCCGAAGAAGGAGGAGGAGAAGAAGAACAUGCCAGUAAUCGCAGCAGUUCUGUCAAGUGGGGGC